UAUUCUCUCUCUCUGCCUCGUCUAGGGUUUUUGAGGCGCACUUCGUCUCUAUCCCCACCUUGAAGCUCCUGCCAUGGCGACGUCGCCAACCUCCUCCGCCGUCAACCUCGGCGGAAAGGGCUCCUCUCUCACCCCCGCCGCCGUGUACGCUGUCGCCGGUGGCCUAUCUAUCGUACGGAUCGACUCCUCCGCCCUCGAGAAGCUCGCUCAGUCCAAGAGCUCCUCCCCUCCUCCGCCACUCUCCGAUGCUAUCCAAAAUCCUAAAUUCUUAACCCCAGAGGAGUCCCGAGCCACCCUUGGUGUCCUCCUCAACAAGCUCCUCGUCGCCGACGCCUCCGUGCGUCCCCCACUACCCACCCUGAUCGAGGAGGUCCUGUCCCUCCCGUCGGGUCACGAAACACUAGAUUUCGGAUCCCCAUUGCAGUUCCUCGAGUCCAUAUGCCGGUUGAAUGGGAGAAAGGUGGAGGAGAUUAACGUUUCCGGAGAUGAAAUCGGGGUUUUCGAAGCCUCCGCCGCUGCUCCGACCGCGAUCUGCGCGAUCUUGGACUGCUGCUCCUCGGCACUGGUGAGGGUGUCGGACGCAGUGGCGGCGCUCUCCUGCGAGGCCUCUAGGGCUGACGUGGGGGCCUUUGAUUUGCCGGUCUCGGGAGACGGCUUCUCGAUCAAGGACGAGACGGAUGUAGCCGGAGACAUGAAGGUGAUGCUCUUUGGUUCGAAGCUCGUAGGGCAGAAUUAUGCCGACUCCUUCGCGGAGAUCCCCACCGUCCAUGGGAGCUUCAGGGAGGCUGUGAGAACACUCCAUGGGAGGAUCCGUGUCGAGCUGAACUCUUCCAUUAAGGUCAGGAAGAAGAGUACAGGUCUCAGUAGUCAAGGAAAGGAGAAAGCUUUGGUGGCCUCUGCGCUCCCUCUGGCUAUGGCAAUUCGGUCCAUGAGUGAGAUUAGUCUGGGGCGAGCCAAAUUGAUUGUUGAGUCGAUCCGAGAUGUUGGUAUCAAGUCUAUGGUUUCUGAAUUAUUUCGAGAUGGGUGUCGGGGCUUUGACAGAUUGAAGGACCAAUUCGAUUCAGUAACGCAAAAUGCUGCUGCUGGAGUAGAUUAUGUAUCGAUUUUGAGUGGUGUUUAUGAUCUUCUGGUUAAAUUUAGGAACAUUCUUGCUUGGGAGGCUGCAUUGGCUUUGUUCACAAUUGAGAUUGAUGAUUCGAUCGAGAAAAUCCAGGGGAGUUCUUCGACGAAUGCCAAGACAAAUGGAGAAACUGCGAAAGGUGACAAGAAGAGCGAGAAGAAAAAGAAGAAGACUUUAGGAAAAGGGACUUCUGCUGUAAUGCAACUUCUUAGAAGCCGAGUAAUGAAUGGAAAGGAGAUAACAAGUGAACAUGUCACAGCACUUGUUAAUUGGGCUCGUGACCUUUCCUUUUGUUUUGAUCCGAAGGACAAAGGGCUUGAUACAUUGAUAGAAAAAGUGAAAGAAAUUGUUGAGAGCAAUGAAGUCAGGAGACUUCCUAAAAUUCCCAAGGGUACCCGUGAUUUUGGGAAAGAACAAAUGGCCAUAAGAGAACGUGCAUUUUCUAUUAUUACCAGUGUUUUCAAGAUGCACGGAGCAGUGGGCCUUGAUACUCCUGUAUUCGAGCUGAGAGAGACUCUCAUGGGGAAAUAUGGGGAAGAUUCGAAGUUGAUAUAUGACCUUGCUGAUCAGGGUGGUGAACUUUGUUCUUUGAGAUAUGAUCUAACUGUUCCUUUUGCCCGAUACGUGGCCAUGAAUAACAUUAGCGCAUUGAAAAGGUACCAAAUAGCAAAAGUGUAUAGGAGGGAUAAUCCAUCAAAGGGAAGGUAUCGUGAAUUCUAUCAAUGUGACUUUGAUAUAGCUGGCCAGUAUGAGCCAAUGGAACCUGACUUUGAGGUCAUUAAAGUAUUAACAGAAUUGUUGGAUCAACUUGACAUUGGCACCUAUGAGAUAAAGCUAAAUCAUCGGAAGCUAUUGGAUGGAAUGUUGGAGAUUUGUGGUGUGCCUCCUGAAAAGUUUAGGACUGUUUGCUCGAGUAUAGAUAAGUUAGACAAGCAAACAUUUGAGCAGAUAAAGAAGGAACUGGUGGAAGAGAAAGGGUUAGCUAUUGAAACAACAGAGAAAAUUGGCACAUUUGUGGAAAAAAGAGGGCCACCGCUUGAAAUCCUUUCUGAAUUGACGAAAGAGGGUGGUCAGUUUAUGGAGAACAGUGGCUCUGUUGUUGCGUUGAAUGAGCUAGAUAUAUUGUUUAAAGCGCUUGAAAAGUCAAAAUGUCUAGACAAAGUGGUCUUUGACUUGAGUCUGGCUAGAGGCCUUGAUUACUAUACUGGAGUAAUAUACGAGGCAGUCUUCAAGGGUGCUACACAGGUUGGUUCCAUUGCAGCAGGGGGCCGCUAUGAUAACCUGGUAGGAAUGUUCAGCGGAAAACAGCUCCCUGCAGUUGGUGUCAGCCUUGGAAUUGAAAGGGUCUUUACAAUUAUGGAACAGCUGGAAAAGGACAGGAACCAGGUUAUUCGUGCAACUGAGACACAAGUUCUGGUGGCUAUUCUUGGAAAAGACCUUACUCUGGCUGCCGAGCUCGUGAGUGAGUUGUGGAAUGCCAAAAUAAAUGCCGAAUUCAAACUCACCAAGAGGGUGAUGAACCACAUUACCUAUGCCAAGCAGUCCGGCAUUCCUUGGAUGGUGCUGGUUGGUGAAUCCGAACUGGAAAAAGGCAUCGUCAAGUUGAAGAACAUCAAAGCAAACCAAGAAGAGGAGGUCCCCAGGAAAACCUUUGUUGAGGAGCUUCAAAGAAGGAUUAACAGUGCUUGAUAAAGCUACUAGACAACAAUAUAAGGGGGGACAAGUGCAUGUGUACAUAGCAUUUUUUUCGACCGAGUGGCCUCAACCAUUUUGAUCAUUUGGCAAUUUAAUUCAAACAGCCAAAAUAUAGAACAGCAGAAAAAAAAAGGGAAAGUUAUUCAAGUCUUGCGUGAUUGGAUCAAAUGAUAGAGAAUUGUGACAUAUUACCUUUUCAUGCUGGGGUAAAUGGUGCAGGGCUUCUCGAGAUAUGUUAUUGAUUGGUAUUUCGAGAGUAGUGAAGAAAAGAGGAGGCAAGAUGCCAUUACUAAAGAGAAUUUCUAGAUAAGCUGAGCUCAAAAUUGUGCAUAAUUUAAGAACAAACAUGCCCCCCCUCCGUUCAAGACCGUUCUGCUCGAGCUCGAGUUUGGUAAAGGAAUAAGCCGUGACUCAGAGAUCAUAGAAUUGGGCUGCAAACACAAGUUCAUCAUGAAAGCAGGAACAUCGUUCUACUCCCUUAAAUGGCCAGAAUUUCCACGGAAAAGAUGCUAUCAAACAAUACUUUGCUGAGAAUGAAGCUGCCAGAGAAGAACUACGGGUGAAGUUAAGAGAAAAAAUGAUGCAAAAUGAGUCGCAAAGAAUAAAGGAUCAGGAGAACUAUAUGAUUGACGGAAAUUUGGGAGCCGUUGUUUCAACGAAUGAUGAGGAAAACAUCACCGAGGUGGAGGCGUGAAGCAGCAGAGCAUCGAAUUCAGAUAUGCUACAUUAAAUCCAUAUAGCAUAUAUUUGGGAUGGUGAGCUCCGGCAUUAAUAUAAAAUAAAUCUUGCAUCUCAUCACGUAUAGCGCGAAAUUUUGGCUGGAGAUUAAUUGGCUGAAAUUGAGCACAGGAGAAAACAAGGUUGAGAUAAAUCUUCCAUCAUAUUGGAGUGUUUUUGUGGCUUAUAUUUGACUAUACUCAAGAUUGUGGUGAGGGGUGGUGUCAUUGAUAGUUUGUUUCACACCAUCAAGACAACAGAUCAAAUCAGGGUUAUGUGAGAGGCUUGUUAGAUUGAGAUAGUAACCGGAGACCGCCGGGCAAGUUACACUUAAAUGAGUUUUUUUACACUUUUUUGUAGUGCUAGGUACUUGUAAAAUAAAUUGUAAUCCAUAUGCGAUGGCUCCUGUUUAUCUUGUAACAGCUGCCUUGUUUGUGCAUACAGCCUUUCAUUUGAAAUUUUUUGUUUUUCUAGA